GCAGUUGGCCGGGCGGCCGCGUGGGCUUUGCCCCCGAGGAACGUCCGGGCUCCAUAGGGAAACGGUGGUGGAUAACGUCCACUCGGAGCGAUCCGCAGGAAAGUGCCACAGAAAGCAAACCGCCGCCCGGCUCGGCCGGGAGGUAAGGGUGAAAGGGUGAGGUAAGAGCUCACCGCGCGUCAGGUGACUGACGUGGCAGGGUAAACCCCACCGGGAGCAAGACCGAGCAGCGCGCUAUGAGGUUCCCGCUCGCGCGCGGGUUGGUUGCUUGAGCCCGUCGGCAACGGCGGGUCUAGAUAGAUGGUCGCCGCCGCCUAGCGGUACAGAACCCGGCGUAUAGGCCAGCUGCACCA
rnacentral:RNase_P_RNA from 1 species